UACGUAGGGUGCAAGCGUUGUCCGGAAUUAUUGGGCGUAAAGAGCUCGUAGGCGGUCUGUUGCGUCGGCUGUGAAAACCCGGGGCUCAACCCCGGGCCUGCAGCCGAUACGGGCAGACUAGAGUUCGGCAGGGGAGACUGGAAUUCCUGGUGUAGCGGUGAAAUGCGCAGAUAUCAGGAGGAACACCGGUGGCGAAGGCGGGUCUCUGGGCCGAUACUGACGCUGAGGAGCGAAAGCGUGGGGAGCGAACUGG
rnacentral:rRNA from 1 species